rnacentral:lncRNA from 1 species
UCAACUCACUUUUCCAUCCCAAUUGGGUAGGGAAGCUCCAUGUGCCCCCAAACCUGGGACUGUCUGUGGACCUCCAUGUGGUCCCUAUCGCCCGACACUCCGGAGUACUCGACGACCAAUCCUCUCCAUGUGAGGAUAUGGAUGGCUAUACCACCCCAAGUAACAGACCGUGAGUUUGAUCUAUCCUCUCCACGUGAGGAUACCCUACCAUCUAGGGCCAACAUCACAAUCGAAACUCAUCUAUGUCCUCUCUAUGUGAGGAUACCCUAUGAACUAGGGCCAACAACACUUGGAAGUCAUUUAUUCCGACCAUCAUGCAAUUGCACUUAGCUUUACUAAAUUCAUUGUUCACAAGGCAUUUUCUAAGGGAUUCCACCUAUCCCUAGGUUCAUAAACCUCUAGUGUCAAGUACACUACAUUAAUGCCACUCGUUUGUUCUUUAGACAUUUAGAUGCCACUCUUUAAGUUACUAGAUAACCGUCAAGUUCACCUCUUUUCUUUACCACUAUAGGAUCAACUGUCCCGACCCAAUCCUCACCUAUCCUAUUCACCUAGCAUUCCAUGCACACUAGGUUACUAUUUAGAAAGCAUAAGGAGAAGGUUAAACAUGCAAUCCUACAAUGCAACAUGCAAGAGAUGAAAUUAUAUGUUACUCUAAGACAUAGAAAGGAGUCCGGUUGCUUCGGGAUGACACCCCCCACCUUUUCUCGUUGUAGAGGUUCUAGAAACGCUCUUCGGCGAACGUUACGACGAAGUCUUAGCCUCCUCGGUCCAAAACAAUGCUCAAUCGGCCUUAUCUUGCCGAUAGCUUUAAAUCCCCUCGACGAAUCAUAAUUCCGACUUCGCCCCCGCGUUUAGACACUUAGCAAUUAGGUUAACAAGGCCUCAAAUGAGAUCAAUCUCAUACUUUACCAAAAACCCUAUUUGGGUGCCCUAGGUUUGCACCUAUAGCAAACCACCCAAUCAAAACCCUAGAUUCUAGUAUUGAUCUAUUUAGAAGCAUGCUAGAGGUCCAAUUGAC